CGAUCUAUGGCCGAACCGGUAAAGGCAUCGCCGUUUACAGGCGAAGAUGCGGGUUCGAGUCCCGCUGGAACGG
rnacentral:tRNA from 1 species